rnacentral:rRNA from 1 species
CCUACGGGUGGCAGCAGUGGGGAAUAUUGCACAAUGGGGGAAACCCUGAUGCAGCGACGCCGCGUGAGUGAAGAAGUAUUUCGGUAUGUAAAGCUCUAUCAGCAGGGAAGAUAAUGACGGUACCUGACUAAGAAGCCCCGGCUAACUACGUGCCAGCAGCCGCGGUAAUACGUAGGGGGCAAGCGUUAUCCGGAUUUACUGGGUGUAAAGGGUGCGUAGGUGGCAGGGCAAGUCAGAUGUGAAAGCCCGGGGCUCAACCCCGGUACUGCAGUUGAAACUGGCCAGCUGGAGUGCAGGAGAGGUAAGCGGAAUGCGUGGUGUAGCGGUGAAAUGCGUAGAUAUUAGGCGGAACACCAGUGGCGAAGGCGGCUUACUGAACUACAACUGACGCUGAAGCACGAAAGCGUGGGUAUCGAACAGGAUUAGAUACCCGAGUAGUC